AGUAUGUUCACAUCAGUUAAAGAUUCAAAUAAUCCUACUCCAAGCUUACAGUUAUAGAAACUGAACAGAGAAUAAACCAAAUUAAGGAAUUAUUUACUGUAAACCUCUAAUUGAAGCCAAAUUUAUUAUUUUAUAUUUUUAGGGGACAAUGACUGAAGAUGCAUUGACAAAACAAUGAUUAGAUAUUUCAUGCUGCCCACCAGUAACCAGGCUAUUAGAGAUAGUAGUAGUAGAGAGUAGUAGUAGAUUUGAGAGGACAUCCAAAAUCAAUUAUGGAAAAUACUAAAACAAAUAAACAUGGUAAUUUCAAUACUUGCCCUCACUUGUUUUUGUAAAGAAAAAAUUUUCCAGUUUUUAAUUUAAUUGACUAACAUUCACAACUAAAGAAACAUUAAAAUUAAUAAUUAGCAAGUUCAAUAUUGUCAAAUAUAGAGU